ensembl:snRNA U2 U2 spliceosomal RNA
AUCACUUCUCGGCCUUUUGGCUAAGAUCAAGUGUAGUAUUUGUUCUUAUCAGUUUAAUAUCUGAUAUGUCCUCUUUAUGAGAUAAGUAAAAGGAUUGUUGGAGCUCAGAGUUGGAAUAGGAACUUGCUCUGUCCACUUGAUGCAUCGACCUGGUAUUGCAGUACCUCUAGGAAUGGUACACCCCCU